UGCGGAAGUAUCAUAUUGAAUCGCCCGGUUUCUCGAAAUGGGUUCUAUUCCCAAACCGUGUAUACAUACCUUUGUUGCUGUGGCAGUCCGCCUUUUAGGCGUUGGCUUCAGGUGACUGCGCCUGCCAGAGGACCCAAACUUGUUUGUUUAGUGAUGUCUGAGUCCUAUAUAAUAGUUAAAACUUUCAACAACGGAUCUCUUGGUUCUGGCAUCGAUGAAGAACGCAGCGAAAUGCGAUAAGUAAUGUGAAUUGCAGAAUUCAGUGAAUCAUCGAAUCUUUGAACGCACAUUGCGCCCCUUGGUAUUCCGAGGGGCACGCCUGUUCGAGCGUCAUUAUAACCACUCAAGCCUCGGCUUGGUCUUGGGGUUCCGCGAUCUCUAGCGGCCCUUAAAAUCAGUGGCGGUGCCAUCUGGCUCUAAGCGUAGUAAUUUUCUCGCUAUAGGGUCCCGGUGGUCUCCUGCCAGAAACCCCCCAUUUUUUAAGGUUGACCUCGGAUCAGGUAGGGAUACCCGCUGAACUUAAGCAUAUCAAUAAGCGGAGGAAAAGAAACCAACAGGGAUUGCCUCAGUAACGGCGAGUGAAGCGGCAACAGCUCAAA
rnacentral:rRNA from 1 species